CUGACCGAACCAAGGGCUCGGUGCAGUGGAUAUAUCUGGAGAACGAACCGUGAAUACGAGUCGUGGUACGCUCGUAAAAAGAAAGGAUUUCUGGCGAACAGAUAAAGACACCUGCGAGCAACGAGAACUGCAGCUAUCCGAGUCUUCCAGAUUACGUAACGAUUCAUGCCUAACCGAGUGUGGGACUCGGUGUAUUUCAAGCAGUACACAUCGAGACCCUUAGAUUCAAAUCUCUCUUCGACGAACAAAAUCGUAUAAACUGCGAAGAUACGAUCUACAUCGGCCACGCCUCGAGAGAAGAUCGAACUGUCUCUACCGUAUACAUCGAAACGGUUUUUGACGUAUCCACGAGGAAUUAGCAUAAGGU
rnacentral:misc_RNA from 1 species